rnacentral:rRNA from 1 species
GACGAACGCUGGCGGCGUGCUUGACACAUGCAAGUCGAGCGGAAAGGCCCCUUCGGUGGUACUCGAGCGGCGAACGGGUGAGUAACACGUGAGUAAUCUGCCCCUCACUCAGGGAUAACCAUUGGAAACGGUGGCUAAUACCUGAUAUGACCACGUCUCGCAUGGGGUGUGGUGGAAAGCGUUUAGUGGUGAGGGAUGUGCUCGCGGCCUAUCAGCUUGUUGGUGAGGUAGUGGCUCACCAAGGCUUCGACGGGUAGCCGGCCUGAGAGGGUGACCGGCCACACUGGGACUGAGACACGGCCCAGACUCCUACGGGAGGCAGCAGUGGGGAAUAUUGGACAAUGGGCGAAAGCCUGAUCCAGCAACGCCGCGUGAGGGAUGACGGCCUUCGGGUUGUAAACCUCUUUCACCCAUGACGAAGCGCAAGUGACGGUAGUGGGAGAAGAAGGACCGGCCAACUACGUGCCAGCCGCCGCCGUAAUAC